rnacentral:rRNA from 1 species
UUAAGUUAAUAAGGGCGCACGGUGGAUGCCUUGGCACUAGAAGCCGAUGAAGGACGUGACUAACGACGAAAUGCUUUGGGGAGCUGUAAGUGAGCAAAGAUCCAGAGAUGUCCGAAUGGGGGAACCCGGCAGGUAAUGCCUGUCACUCAUUACUGUUAAGGUAAUGAAGAGGAAGACGCAGUGAACUGAAACAUCUAAGUAGCUGCAGGAAGAGAAAGCAAAAGCGAUUGCCUUAGUAGCGGCGAGCGAAACGGCAGGAGGGCAAACCGAAGAGUUUACUCUUCGGGGUUGUAGGACUGCAAUGUGGACUUAAAGAUUAUAGAAGAACUACCUGGGAAGGUAGGCCAAAGAGAGUAACAGCCUCGUAUUCGAAAUAGUCUUUAUACCUAGCAGUAUCCUGAGUACGGCGAGACACGAGAAAUCUCGUCGGAAUCUGGGAGGACCAUCUCCCAACCCUAAAUACUCUCUAGUGACCGAUAGUGAACCAGUACCGUGAGGGAAAGGUGAAAAGCACCCCGGGAGGGGAGUGAAAUAGAACCUGAAACCGUGUGCCUACAACAAGUUCGAGCCCGUUAAUGGGUGAGAGCGUGCCUUUUGUAGAAUGAACCGGCGAGUUACGAUAUGAUGCGAGGUUAAGUUGAAGAGACGGAGCCGUAGGGAAACCGAGUCUGAAUAGGGCGAAUUAGUAUUAUGUCGUAGACCCGAAACCAUGUGACCUACCCAUGAGCAGGUUGAAGGUGCGGUAAGACGCACUGGAGGACCGAACCAGGGCACGUUGAAAAGUGCUUGGAUGACUUGUGGGUAGCGGAGAAAUUCCAAACGAACUUGGAGAUAGCUGGUUCUCUCCGAAAUAGCUUUAGGGCUAGCGUCGAUGUUAAGUCUCUUGGAGGUAGAGCACUGUUUGGGUGAGGGGUCCAUCCCGGAUUACCAAUCUCAGAUAAACUCCGAAUGCCAAUGAGAUAUAAUCGGCAGUCAGACUGCGAGUGCUAAGAUCCGUAGUCGAAAGGGAAACAGCCCAGACCACCAGCUAAGGUCCCAAAAUAUAUGUUAAGUGGAAAAGGAUGUGGGGUUGCACAGACAACUAGGAUGUUAGCUUAGAAGCAGCUAUUCAUUCAAAGAGUGCGUAAUAGCUCACUAGUCGAGUGACCCUGCGCCGAAAAUGUACCGGGGCUAAAACAUAUUACCGAAGCUGUGGAUACCUUUAUAGGUAUGGUAGGAGAGCGUUCUAUGUGCGAAGAAGGUGUACCGUGAGGAGUGCUGGAGCGCAUAGAAGUGAGAAUGCCGGUAUGAGUAGCGAAAGACAGGUGAGAAUCCUGUCCACCGUAAGACUAAGGUUUCCAGGGGAAGGCUCGUCCGCCCUGGGUUAGUCGGGACCUAAGGAGAGACCGAAAGGUGUAUCCGAUGGACAACAGGUUGAUAUUCCUGUACUAGAGUAUGUAGUGAUGGAGGGACGCAGUAGGCUAACUAAAGCAGACGAUUGGAAGAGUCUGUCUAAGCAGUGAGGUGUGAUAUGAGUCAAAUGCUUAUAUCUAUAACAUUGAGCUGUGAUGGGGAGCGAAGUUUAGUAGCGAAGUUAGUGACGUCACACUGCCAAGAAAAGCUUCUAGCGUUUAAACAUACUCUACCCGUACCGCAAACCGACACAGGUAGUCGAGGCGAGUAGCCUCAGGUGAGCGAGAGAACUCUCGUUAAGGAACUCGGCAAAAUGGCCCCGUAACUUCGGGAGAAGGGGCGCUGACUGAUAGUCAGCCGCAGUGAAUAGGCCCAAGCAACUGUUUAUCAAAAACACAGCUCUCUGCUAAAUCGUAAGAUGAUGUAUAGGGGGUGACGCCUGCCCGGUGCUGGAAGGUUAAGAGGAGUGCUUAGCGUAAGCGAAGGUAUGAAUUGAAGCCCCAGUAAACGGCGGCCGUAACUAUAACGGUCCUAAGGUAGCGAAAUUCCUUGUCGGGU